CUUCAUAACCACUACAGCCUGCUGAUUUGAGAAAUCAAAGAGGUGCGAUAUUUAAAAGAGAGGCAAGCAGCCAAAUAUAAGAAGUCUUGGGUAGAUACAUUUAUGGAGCCCAGUCAUUCGAAAAACAGCAACAGCAAAGUAAUAAACAUAAAGAAUAGGUACAAUAACAACAAGAGCGUAAACUAACAAAAGCCAAUAAAAUAACUUCUCUCUUCAGUAAUUUUGAACACCAGGAAGAUUUGCUACAUGACAGGGGCAGAGUGGCCAUAUGGGCAGGUGAAUCUGUACCAAUCAAACCAUCCCCUCCCCCUUUAAUAAAACACAACACGUCUGUGUAUGGGAAAACUUGUCCACAGCUUUUAUUGAAC